CCUACGGGACGCAGCAGUGAGGAAUAUUGGUCAAUGGGCGGAAGCCUGAACCAGCCAAGUCGCGUGAGGGAAUAAGGCCCUACGGGUUGUAAACCUCUUUUGCCGGGGAGCAAUGCCGGGGACGUGUCCCGGCCCGGAGAGUACCCGGAGAAUAAGCAUCGGCUAACUCCGUGCCAGCAGCCGCGGUAAUACGGAGGAUGCGAGCGUUAUCCGGAUCUAUUGGGUUUAAAGGGUGCGUAGGCGGGCUUUUAAGUCAGUGGUAAAAUUUCCGG
rnacentral:rRNA from 1 species